rnacentral:rRNA from 1 species
UAGAGUUUGAUCAUGGCUCAGGAUGAACGCUAGCGACAGGCCUAACACAUGCAAGUCGAGGGGCAUCGGGGCGAGGAGCAAUCCUUGCCGCCGGCGACCGGCGCACGGGUGAGUAACGCGUAUGCGACCUGCCCGUUGCAGGGGGAUAAUCGGGAGAAAUCCCGUCUAAUACCGCGUAAUGCCGCGGGGCUGCAUGGCCCUGCGGCCAAAGGGAGCGAUUCCGGCAACGGAUGGGCAUGCGGCGCAUUAGCUAGACGGCGGGGUGACGGACCACCAAGACGACGAUGUCUAGGGGUUCUGAGAGGAAGGUCCCCCACACUGGUACUGAGACACGGACCAGACUCCUACGGGAGGCAGCAGUGAGGAAUAUUGGUCAAUGGGCGCGAGCCUGAACCAGCCAAGUCGCGUGAGGGAUGACGGCCCUACGGGUUGUAAACCUCUUUUGUCGGGGAGCAAAUUCCGCCACGUGUGGCGGAGUCGAGAGUACCCGAAGAAAAAGCAUCGGCUAACUCCGUGCCAGCAGCCGCGGUAAUACGGAGGAUGCGAGCGUUAUCCGGAUUUAUUGGGUUUAAAGGGUGCGUAGGCGGACUGUCAAGUCAGCGGUAAAAUACGGGGGCUCAACCUCCGCCCGCCGUUGAAACUGACGGUCUUGAGUGGGCGAGAAGUAUGCGGAAUGCGUGGUGUAGCGGUGAAAUGCAUAGAUAUCACGCAGAACUCCGAUUGCGAAGGCAGCAUACCGGCGCUCAACUGACGCUCAUGCACGAAAGUGUGGGUAUCGAACAGGAUUAGAUACCCUGGUAGUCCACACAGUAAACGAUGAAUACUAAUUGUUCGGGGAGAAUGAUCCCUGAGUGAUACAGCGAAAGCGUUAAGUAUUCCACCUGGGGAGUACGCCGGCAACGGUGAAACUCAAAGGAAUUGACGGGGGCCCGCACAAGCGGAGGAACAUGUGGUUUAAUUCGAUGAUACACGAGGAACCUUACCCGGGCUCAAACGACACAGGAAUACUUUUGAAAGGAGGUAGCUCUACGGAGUCUGUGUCGAGGUGCUGCAUGGUUGUCGUCAGCUCGUGCCGUGAGGUGUCGGCUUAAGUGCCAUAACGAGCGCAACCCCCAUCGCCAGUUACCAGCAAGUCAAGUUGGGGACUCUGGCGAGACUGCCGGCGCAAGCUGUGAGGAAGGCGGGGAUGACGUCAAAUCAGCACGGCCCUUACGUCCGGGGCGACACACGUGUUACAAUGGCAGGUACAGAGAGAAGCAAUGCGGCGACGCAAAGCGGAACUUGAAAGCCUGUCUCAGUUCGGAUUGGAGUCUGCAACUCGACUCCAUGAAGCUGGAUUCGCUAGUAAUCGCGCAUCAGCCAUGGCGCGGUGAAUACGUUCCCGGGCCUUGUACACACCGCCCGUCAAGCCAUGGAAGCCGGGAGUGCCUGAAGUGUGCAACCGCAAGGAGCGCCCUAAGGUAAAACUGGUGACUGGGGCUAAGUCGUAACAAGGUAACCGUA